rnacentral:lncRNA from 1 species
CUUUCCGUCUCCCAGCCAUCGUCUUCCCUGCAGGAGCAUAGACCCCAGAUCUCAAUCUUGGCCCCGAGGCUGGAGCCAGGAGGUGCAGCUCCAUGUCAAUUACGGCCCAGUUCCAGAGGUGCCAUCAAAGAGUUAACUAGGAUGUCCCAGUGUGCAAAUGUGGGAUAAUUGGGAAACAAAUUCUACAAACAUCUUGAAAGGGGCAAAAGACCUUUGAUCUUUCCAUAGAAAGGCAGACAUUACAGACGUUACUGCCUUUUGGGGCCUGCACACAUCCCAUACCAGGUCAGAGGAUGCCAUCUUUCGGAGAAAUCAACCGACACCUAAUUCCAUCGUACCUUAAUUAUCCUAACUGGUUUCGUAUGUCCAAAGGCAUUUUCCCCAAAGAUUAGAGGAGAAAGAGGGACUGACAAAAUAAUUAAAUAUGCAAUUUGCCAAGCGUGGACAAUAUGGCUUUGAAAUCACCUUUUCAGGAAGCUUUACCGCGUGCUCAUGGACAUGUAUAUUGCAGGCUUCAGACUUUUAUUUAGGCUCUUUUGAUUGCCUUAAUGGAUUAAUACCUGAGUGCCAUCAGUGAGGGGCUGAGACCCGAGGCUGUUUCUAAUUUCGCAAAUAUUGCGCCUGCUUCCUCUGGUGUUAUGACAAAAACAAGUAUCUAGGAUUUGCCUUCUCUUAAAGCAACAUGCCGAUCCCCUCCAAUAAUUGCCUCAUGCCAGAAUCUGCGUCUCACAAAUGUUGUUGUCGGUUACAGGAAAAUUCCAUGGUGCCAGGGGCCUGGGCGGCGGGCGGCGGCGUUGGCAGGACUGGGCAGGCCCGUGUUGUGUGCGGGGCCUGGAUCCUUUUUUGGGUGGCGUUCCCGAUAGGAGUCUGCGUAUCCGGACAGUGGGGCGCCUCUCAAACUCGGGCCCCGGCGGCGUCCAGGGGUGCGGAGGAAUGCGUUACUGUCCCCGCUUAUGACUCCUGCCGUGGCUGCCUUCCUCCUGCCCAGGUCCCAGCUGCCUGCUCUCGGCUUUCCCACCUGGGGCUCCUCAGGCCCGCUGCCACCUACCCUCGGCUGCUGCUGCCCAGAAAGACUGGUGGCAGGUGUGCCCAAUCCCCAUCACCGCCGGCCAUCCUCCCUGAUCUCUGUGGUCAGCAGGGCUGUGAGGAAGGACCUUAACUGUAUCCUAACCUGUGAAAAGAGAAUCUCAAUCGUAGGCUUUAAUUCAUUCCAUCAAGCACCCACUUUGUGCCAGCCCCUGGCCUGGCGCCAGGGAGACAGCGAUGCGGGAGGUGGAUGUGGUUCCCGCCCUCAUGGAGGGAUUUCUGAUUCUGAUUAGCAACCGAUUUGGCGCCACACACUUCACAGCUCAUGGAGACACCCCAGAGUGUGGCCAUGCCGUGAAGAGAGAGCUGGGGACAGAUCCUCACACUGGGUGUCUGGUGACAGCCCUCCCCGUGGUCCUUCUGGGUCCUUGGGGACAGUGUGUGUGAGGGCAGUGGCACCCCUGCGACUUCACCCUCCCAUCUGAACCGGCUCUUUGUGGGCAGACGCCUCCAUUGGGAGAUGCAAAGUUGAGUGUUCCUGCUCACGUACCUGGCAGACCGUUCUUUCCAUGUCCCAUCAUUGACAUGUCCCCUUGGACCUCUGGGAGCGGCAUGAAGAGAACAAAGGAUUUUUCCCAACUUUUUCUCACGAAAAUAUUCAAACACGUAGAAAAGCUGAAAGAGUACAACGAAUGCCCACACACUGCCUUCUGGAUUCCACACGUGAGCAUUCCCCAUACUUGCUGAUCUGUGUGUACACAUAGCUAUAGCUACAAUUUUUUUGCUAUAAAUUUGAAAGCCAGUUCCAUAUGUCAUCCCUAAAUAUUUCAGCAUGAGGGUUCUAAAAAUAAAGAUAUUCUCCUCCACA